AUUGAACGCUGGCGGCAGGCCUAACACAUGCACGUCGAGCGAGCGGCGGACGGGUGAGUAAUGUCUGGGAAACUGCCUGAUGGAGGGGGAUAACUACUGGAAACGGUAGCUAAUACCGCAUACCAUCAGAUGUGCCCAGAUGGGAUUAGCUAGUAGGUGGGGUAACGGCUCACCUAGGCGACGCUCCCUAGCUGGUCUGAGAGGAUGACCAGCCACACUGUAACGGAGACACGGUCCGGACUCCUACGGGAGGCAGCAGUGGGGAAUAUUGCACAAUGGUCGCAAGCCUGAUGCAGCCAUGCCGCGUGUGGGAAGAAGGCCUUCGGUUUGUAAAGCACUUUCAGCGGGGAGGCGUUACCCGCAGAAGAAGCACCGGCUAACUCCGUGCCAGCAGCCGCGGUAAUAC
rnacentral:rRNA from 1 species